CAAUGGGGGCAACCCUGAACGAGCAAUGCCGCGUGAGCGAAGAAGGUCUUCGGAUUGUAAAGCUCUGUUGCCGGGGAAAAAGGAAGGAAAGAGGAAAUGCUUUUCUUUGGAUGGUACCCGGCCAGAAAGUCACGGCUAACUACGUGCC
rnacentral:rRNA from 1 species